CGGGGCGUGGCGCAGCCUGGUAGCGCACCUGCUUUGGGAGCAGGGGGUCGCAGGUUCGAAUCCUGCCGCCCCGACCA
rnacentral:tRNA from 1 species